rnacentral:miRNA from 1 species
AACCUCAUCGACCAGAAGGGAUUCCUUCCAGUCGAUGAGGUGUAACAACCUCAUCAACCGGAAGGAAUCCCUUCCGGUUGAUGAGGUG